CCUACGGGGAGCUGCAGUGAGGAAUAUUGGUCAAUGGGCGGAAGCCUGAACCAGCCAAGUCGCGUGAGGGAUUAAGGCCCUGCGGGUCGUAAACCUCUUUUGCCGGGGAGCAGAGGUCCGGACGUGUCCGGGCCGGGAGAGUACCCGGAGAAAAAGCAUCGGCUAACGCCGUGCCAGCAGCCGCGGUAAUACGGAGGAUGCGAGCGUUAUCCGGAAUGACUGGGCGUAAGGGGUGCGUAGGUGGUUUAGUAAGUUGGCGGUGUAAUUCCGGGGCUCAACCUCGGCGCUACCGCCAAAACUAGUAGACUAGAGUGCAGGAGGGGUAAGUGGAAUUCCUAGUGUAGCGGUGAAAUGCUUAGAUAUCACGCAGAACCCCGAUUGCGAAGGCAGCCUGCCAAGCCAUGACUGACGCUGAUGCACGAAAGCGUGGGGAUCAAACAGGAUUAGAUACCCCAGUAGUC
rnacentral:rRNA from 1 species